rnacentral:lncRNA from 11 species
CAAGCGGGCAGAGAUUAGUCCUCUAACUGGCAGCAAUUGGAUAAAAACAAUUAUUCCUUUCCCUCUAAUUAGGACUUUUUUUCUUUUAGCAUUCUUUGGCCAGACCUUGUAAAACUACAGCUCCCAUGACUCCAUAGCAUUGAACCAAGGCAAUUAGAGUGCAUUCCUUCUGCAGCAUAGAUGAACCCCAAGGUGCUUUGGACUGUUCCUUUUCCUCCAAUCAAGGGAGGCGUUCCCACGUGACGCGGAAGCAUACUCUGGGAAGCCCCGCCCCCACGGGCCCACGUGACCCCUCCUCCUCUUCUUCUCGCCCCUCCCCUCCCACGUGACUCACUUACCCACUCCGGGCUCCUCAUUACAUCUCCCGGCGCCAGCAGAAACGGAAUCGGGGCGAGAGAGGGGCCAAAAGAGGGGCCUGUUCCCCGUUCUCGGCCUGGCCGGCGUUUGGCGGAGCAAAAAGAAGCCUUCGUCUUCUCCUUCAGGGUUGGCGCAUGCGCGGUGUGCGCCUCUUUUAUCUUCCACGCAUGCGCACUCCCGUUUCAGCGCUCACUCCAUCGCCUCUUCAGCGUCUUCGGAGGAUUGGCGCAUGCGCACGGUGCGCCUUUUCCUCUUCCCACGCAUGCGCACUCUCGUUUCAGCGCUCUUUUCCCAUCGUUUCUUCGAUCGCGGGGUGUGCAGGUUUUUUUUCUUCUUCCACGCAUGCGCACUCCCAUUUCAGCGCGGCGCUCUUUCCUCUCACCAGCGCAUCGGGGUUGACGCAUGCCCAGUGUGCAGAAGUUUUUUCUUUUCUUUUUUUUCUUCCACGCAUGCGCAUCCCCAUUUCAGCGCUGGGCAGCCUGGGAAAUGUAGUCCCUCCCCUCAGCCUUGAAACGGAAGGCGGGAAACAUCCCAGCGCUUAUCUCCUUAUUCAUCAUCCAUGA